rnacentral:misc_RNA from 1 species
AUGGUUAUUGUGAUAGCUGAAGGUGCUGGGCAAGAGUUGCUUUCUCAGACCAUCCAAUCAACUCAGCAGGAUGCUUCAGGAAACAAACUUCUCCAAGAUGUUGGUUUGUGGAUAUCACAGAGGAUCAAGGAUUAUUUUUCAAAGCAGAAGAAGAUGACUAUAAACCUCAAAUAUAUAGAUCCUACAUACAUGAUCCGUGCUAUUCCAGGCAAUGCAUCUGACAAUGUGUACUGCACACUUCUUGCUCAAAGUGUUGUGCAUGGAGCAAUGGCUGGAUACACUGGCUUUACAAGUGGUCUUGUUAAUGGCAGACAAACUUACAUACCCUUUUAUCGAAUCAUUGAGAAGCAGAACAAGGUAGUUAUAACAGAUAGGAUGUGGGCUAGGCUUCUGUCUUCAACAAAUCAGCCUAGUUUUUGGAGUGCUAAAGAUUGCAUUGAAGACAAGAAAGAGGAUAUUGCCAAAGUCAAGGAGGAGGAAGAACCGGAAAACCGGUUAAUGGAUAAUGGGAAUUGUGCCAGCGAUAUUGUGGCAAAGAAAGAGGUCAGCUACAUGUGAUUGAGAUUGAAACCAUAAUAGUCUAUAAGAUUGUUACUAUCAUUGCAUUGCCUACCAUGUAUCUUGGUUAUGUUAGAUUAAUGAUAUUAUGAGUGAGUUCUGCCCUUCGGUUUAUUUCAGGGUACCUGGAAAUGGUAGUAUUCUUUGCUGAGAUAAAAUAGUUUUGGUCAUGAAUAAUGGCAAAGUUGAAUGAGAAAAAUUAACUCAAUGCACUGUAUUGUAUGAUGACUUGAUUUAAAUUAUUACAACUUUU